GGUUAUUGUUCCAUUCAGUUCUCCGAAGGGCGUUCGAACUCUCCUUCACCAUUCGACCUUUAUUUGGACCAAGCUUUUAUGGUCCCAGGAGUACCACGCUUAGCCAAGGUUGAGGCCAUGACUUGUCCAACUGUGGUUCAAUUUGAUGUGCCUGGUUUAGGAACUGGUGCUCACUGUGGAGGAGUUUGAACACCGUCGAAGAUUCAACUGUUCCGGGCUCGGUAACAAGUGAGGUGACUCCUUUCCGUGUGACGACUAUUUUUGGUGACAACCUUGGGCUGCCGCCACGCCCGGCCAGUGGCUGGUUACAGUCUUCAAUAUUCUCAAGUACCCUGCUAGAUUUGACGCAUAUUAUAUUUUAGCGCUAAAAGUAAUUUUUCAUUCGAGAAUCAUUUUCAUGAAUAGGUUUAAUGUUCAUUUUUGAGUUAAAAA